UACGAGAGGUCCUAGCGUUAGUCGGAAUCACUGGGCUUAAAGGGUGCGUAGGCGGGCUUGUAAGUGUUUUGUGAAAUCCCACGGCUCAACCGUGGAAUCGCAGGGCAUACUGCAAGCCUCGAGGAAGCUAGAGGCCGGUGGAACGAUAGGUGGAGCGGUGGAAUGCGUAGAUAUCGUUUGGAACGCCAAUGGUGAAAACAGCUCGCUGGGGAUGUGCCGACGCUGAGAUACGAAAGCCAGGGGAGCGAACGGG
rnacentral:rRNA from 1 species